UACGUAGGGCGCAAGCGUUGUCCGGAAUUAUUGGGCGUAAAGAGCUCGUAGGCGGUCUGUCACGUCUGCUGUGAAAACCCGGGGCUUAACCCCGGGCUUGCAGUGGAUACGGGCAGACUAGAGGCAGGUAGGGGAGAAUGGAAUUCCCGGUGUAGCGGUGAAAUGCGCAGAUAUCGGGAGGAACACCGGUGGCGAAGGCGGUUCUCUGGGCCUGUUCUGACGCUGAGGAGCGAAAGCGUGGGGAGCAAACAGG
rnacentral:rRNA from 1 species